rnacentral:lncRNA from 1 species
GUAGGGUCUGUGAGCUGGGGCACAUUGAGAAGAGGCACUGGGAGCUUGGAGGAACCUGAGAGUGAGCGGCAGUGCCUCUUGGAUGGAGGGGCAGGGGGCACAGGAAGCUUCUCUGGAUCUGGGGGCUCAGGUCUUAGGACUUGGGAGAAGGGCUGCUCCUUGGGGGAGUUUCCCCGACUGGGUGGUCUGAGGUGCAGGCUCAGGCCUGAGGGAUGGUAGCUGAAGUUGAGGCUGUCCUGGAACUCAGCACAGGAACAGUGGGGCAGGCCCCUCCAGGAAGCACCUUCUGGAAGGCAUUUAUAAUAAGAAUAAUAUUAAUGAUAGCUUACAUUUUUUAAGAACUUACCAUUUGCCACAUAAUGUAUGGAGCAUUUUAUGUGAAAAUUUCCAAAAACCUUAUGAGGUAGGUAGUAUCGUUAUCAUUAUCCCCAUUUCACAGAUAAGAGAAAUUCAAUAACUUUCCCAAAAUCACAUAGCACUCAAAAGACCAAAGGAGGAUUCAAAUCCAGGUCUGUCUGAUGCGAAGGCUAGGUUUUUAAACCACUAUGCUCUAUUGCCUCCAUUGUGACCAACUACCUGGAAUCAAAAACAUUUCAUCUACUGCCUGCCACUCCCUCUCAAAGGUAAAAGAAGUCAAGAGAAACAAACACGUUUGUGAGUGUCCUGCUCAUCUCUCCCUCGCCCCUCCCCCACGCUUGCCCUGGAUGCUGAAAAGCAGGCCUAUGCUCUUCUUUCUCGGCCUUUCCUCCUCUCAUGUGUCAACAGCACCAAGUCAGGAGUUAGGACUGCCAAGAAGUAAGAGGUAAUCAGGCAGGUAAGAGAUCACUUUUAUUCCUAGGGAGGGCAAACAGGGUGGGGAAGGCCUUUGACAGUGAAACCUGGGCUUGGGAAACCCUGACUUUGUGCUGCUCAUCUUCGUUUCUGUCUGGCCACCCACAUAUUCCGAUUCCCUUCCCCUAGGCCUUCUCUUAAAUCCAAACAGAUGGAGGGACCAAGAGAAGGAAGGGAAAAUGGACUAAAAGAAACAAUCCUCACUCACUGUAUUCCAACCAAAAUUGUGACUUUUGGGAGACGGCUCAUUAAGGGACAAAGGGCCUAAUCCAAACUCCUCUGGCUAGCUGGCUGGAAUUCUGCAGGGGCUGGAUAUUUGGGGCAAACGACAAGUAUACGAAGUCAGACUUGAUGGUGGCAAAAUUCAUACUGAGUGUAUUUGGUCUAUAGUUCUUCCCUCUACUAACCACUAUGAGGGCAGGGACCAUGAGUUCCUGCUCUAUACUUAUGACACAAUACCUGGCUUUCAGCAAGUCUUUAAUAAACAGGAGGAAGAGACUGAAUGAACAUGUUUUUGCCAACUCACUUCCCUUGCUAGGUAUCCCAGAAAAGAAAAUGAGAUGCAGAACUGCUGAGCAGCACGAGUUAGGGAGUUCUGAUUGUCCACCAGUGAUGCCUCCAUCUAAAUGUCCCUACGAUCAGGGGCCCUUUAACUCAGUAAUUAAUAAUCUACGAAUUUAUACCUCAGAUAUAUUUUCACAUGUGAAAAAAUGACAUAUGUACAAGGUUAUUCACUACAGUUUCUUU